rnacentral:rRNA from 1 species
AACGCUAGCUACAGGCUUAACACAUGCAAGUCGAGGGGCAGCAUGAACUUAGCUUGCUAAGUUUGAUGGCGACCGGCGCACGGGUGAGUAACACGUAUCCAACCUGCCGAUGACUCGGGGAUAGCCUUUCGAAAGAAAGAUUAAUACCCGAUGGCAUAGUUCUUCCGCAUGGUGGAACUAUUAAAGAAUUUCGGUCAUCGAUGGGGAUGCGUUCCAUUAGGUUGUUGGCGGGGUAACGGCCCACCAAGCCUUCGAUGGAUAGGGGUUCUGAGAGGAAGGUCCCCCACAUUGGAACUGAGACACGGUCCAAACUCCUACGGGAGGCAGCAGUGAGGAAUAUUGGUCAAUGGACGAGAGUCUGAACCAGCCAAGUAGCGUGAAGGAUGACUGCCCUAUGGGUUGUAAACUUCUUUUAUACGGGAAUAAAGUGAGGCACGCGUGCCUUUUUGUAUGUACCGUAUGAAUAAGGAUCGGCUAACUCCGUGCCAGCAGCCGCGGUAAUACGGAGGAUCCGAGCGUUAUCCGGAUUUAUUGGGUUUAAAGGGAGCGUAGGCGGACGCUUAAGUCAGUUGUGAAAGUUUGCGGCUCAACCGUAAAAUUGCAGUUGAUACUGGGUGUCUUGAGUACAGUAGAGGCAGGCGGAAUUCGUGGUGUAGCGGUGAAAUGCUUAGAUAUCACGAAGAACUCCGAUUG